UCCGGUUUGACACCGGCAGUCUCAUUAGAGUCCUCGCCAUGACGCGUUAGUAACUAAUGACAAGGGUUGCGCUCGUUAGAGGACUUAACCCGACGCUUCACAGCACGAGCUGACGACAGCCAUGCAGCACCUGUGCUGGUUCCACUCUUGCGAGCGUCAUUCCUGUUUCCAGGAACUAAUCCCAGCAUGUCAAACCCAGGUAAGGUUCUUCGCGUUGCUUCGAAUUAAGCCACAUGCUCCACCGCUUGUGUGAGCCCCCGUCAAUUUCUUUGAGUUUUAAUCUUGCGACCGUACUUCCCAGGCGGUAUGCUUACCAAUUUCUCUACAGUUCCAACGGCGUCAGAGCCGCUGAAACUCAGCAUACAUCGUUUAGGGCGUGGACUAC
rnacentral:misc_RNA from 1 species